rnacentral:rRNA from 1 species
UACAGAGGGUGCAAGCGUUAAUCGGAAUUACUGGGCGUAAAGCGUGCGUAGACGGUUAUGUAAGUCAGGUGUGAAAGCCCCGGGCUCAACCUGGGAAUUGCAUUUGAGACUGCAUAGCUAGGGUGCGGAAGAGGGAAGCGGAAUUUCCGGUGUAGCGGUGAAAUGCGUAGAUAUCGGAAGGAACACCAGUGGCGAAAGCGGCUUCCUGGUCCAGCACCGACGUCAGGCACGAAAGCGUGGGGAGCAAACAGGG